UUCCGGUUGAUCCCGCCGGACCUGACUGCUAUCGGAUUGAUACUAAGCCAUGCUAGUCUUUGUAGUAAUACAAGGCAUACGGCUCAGUAACGCGUAGUCAACCUACCCUAUGGACGGGGAUAAUCUCGGGAAACUGAGCAUAAUACCCGGUAGACCACUUCUCCUGGAAUGGUUAGUGGUUAAAAUGAUUCGUCGCCAUAGGAUGGGACUGCGGCCUAUCAGCUUGUUGGUGAGGUAAUGGCCCACCAAGGCGAUUACAGGUACGGGCUCUGAGAGGAGAAGCCCGGAGAUGGGUACUGAGACAAGGACCCAGGCCCUAUGGGGCGCAGCAGGCGAGAAAACUUUGCAAUGUGCGAAAGCACGACAAGGUUAAUCCGAGUGAUUUCUGCUAAAGGAAUCUUUUGUUAGUUCUAAAUCUACUAGUGAAUAAGGGGUGGGCAAGUUCUGGUGUCAGCCGCCGCGGUAAAACCAGCACCUCAAGUGGUCAGGAGGAUUAUUGGGCCUAAAGCAUCCGUAGCCUGUUCUAUAAGUUUGCGGUUAAAUCUAUACGCUCAACGUAUAGGCUGCCGUAAAUACUGUAGAACUAGGGAGUGGGAGAGGUAGACGGUACUCGGUAGGAAGGGGUAAAAUCCUUUGAUCUAUCGAUGACCACCUGUGGCGAAGGCGGUCUACCAGAACACGUUCGACGGUGAGGGAUGAAAGCUGGGGGAGCAAACCGGAUUAGAUACCCGGGUAGUCCCAGCUGUAAACGAUGCAGACUCGAUGAUGCAAUGGCAUAGAGCUAUUGCAGUAUCGCAGGGAAGCCGUUAAGUCUGCCGCCUGGGAAGUACGUACGCAAGUAUGAAACUUAAAGGAAUUGGCGGGGGAGCACCACAAGGGGUGAAGCCUGCGGUUCAAUUGGAGUCAACGCCGG
rnacentral:rRNA from 1 species